rnacentral:rRNA from 1 species
UACGGAGGGUGCGAGCGUUGUCCGGAAUCACUGGGCGUAAAGGGCGCGUAGGCGGCGCGGGCAGUCAACGGUGAAAGCUUGGGGCUCAACCCCGAGUCGGCCGGUCGAUACUCCCGGGCCUGGAGCACUGUAGAGGGCAGGUGGAAUUCCGGGUGUAGCGGUGGAAUGCGUAGAGAUCCGGAAGAACACCGGUGGCGAAGGCGGC